rnacentral:lncRNA from 10 species
GAUAUCAGUAGUUCCACUGUUAUACAGGACCUGAAAGAAUAUCUCAAAGGGAAAACUUAAUGUUUCAUUAUGUUCAAGUUGUUAUCUACAGAGCAGUUAACAGAACUAUCAUCUUGUAACAGAGUCUUACUUGAUUCUAGGACAGUAGGCAACAAACAAUUAUUAAAUAUGGUGAAGCAGGUCGGAGAGCAAGCUACCUAAUGAUUAAUGCUGAACAUGCAGCAAGCUUGGUUUAUUUUAGUUUCUCCUUCUCCCUUCUUCUCUGAUUAAUUUUAUAAUAUUCAGAAGGGUUCCUGUACACCUAGGUCAACUUGAAGACCGCAGGUGUGUGGAAGUAAGACAUAGAUCGGAAAGUGACCCUUGGAAUGUUGUGAGCUCCUGGAAAGCCAUGGAGUCUCAGCAGGGGCCUUUGAACUGCCACAGGGCAUCGACUGGGGAUUUUGACCCAACCUAACUAGAGGAGCAUCAGUCUUUUCCUGACGUAUAAAUUAUGUCAGAAAUUAAAGCAAACCUCCAAGGGGUACUGUAGAAGUGAGAAUAAGACACAUUUUUUGUAUUUUAAUAAUUUAGCUGCUAGGGCGGGGAUUGGUGUAUGUGUGUGGUCAGGAGGGGAAGCUAGAUGCUCUUCCCUGAGAUACUCAUGGCUCCUUCCUCAUGUUCAUCAUUCACGUCUCUGUGCAAACGUUCCCCUCUUUAGCCCGGCCUUCCGUGACCAGCCGAGCUAUGACAACAACCCUCAUCACUCUUCUUUAGUUCCUUCUAGCCUAGGAAAUUCUUUUCCUAUUUCAGUGGAUGUAAAAUUAUUUUGAGGUCAAUGAAUUUAGGGACAGUCUCAAUCUUGAAUUCCAGCCCUGUUUUCAUUCACUCAUUCGAAAAGUCUUUACUAUUGACCUACUAUGCACCAGGCUAGGCACUCAGGAUAUAUCUAUGAACAAAACCAGCAAUCAUCACUGCUUCCGUGGAUCCCGUAUAUCCAGUGUGGAUCCAGUGUAGAUCCAGUGUGGGUCCUGUGCAUUAAGGCAGCAUUAAGACAAAAACAAUCUUAAUUCUAAUCAUCCUAGCCCCACCCAUCUGCAAAGGAAGCUCUUACUCUCAGAACUCAAAGCACUCUCUAGGGCUUCUUACGUAGGUUGCUUCCUGGUAACGGGUGCAUAUCCAGCUGCUGAUACAAUGAAGUAUUAAAAAUAUUGUUGGCCGCGCAUGGUGGCUCAAGCCUGUAAUCCUAGCACUGUGGGA